rnacentral:rRNA from 1 species
GACGAACGCUGGCGGCGUGCCUAAUACAUGCAAGUCGAGCGCAGGAAACUGACGGAACUCUUCGGAGGGAAGGCAGUGGAAUGAGCGGCGGACGGGUGAGUAACACGUAAGGAACCUGCCUCAAGGAUUGGGAUAACUCCGAGAAAUCGGAGCUAAUACCGGAUAGUUCAUCGGACCGCAUGGUCCGUUGAUGAAAGGCGCUCCGGCGUCACCUUGAGAUGGCCUUGCGGUGCAUUAGCUAGUUGGUGGGGUAACGGCCCACAAAGGCGACGAUGCAUAGCCGACCUGAGAGGGUGAGCGGCCACACUGGGACUGAGACACGGCCCAGACUCCUACGGGAGGCAGCAGUAGGGAAUCUUCCACAAUGGACGAAAGUCUGAUGGAGCAACGCCGCGUGAGUGGUGAAGGUUUUCGGAUCGUAAAACUCUGUUGUAAGGGAAGAACACGUACGAGAGGGAAUGCUCGUACCUUGACGGUACCUUACGAGAAAGCUACGGCUAACUACGUGCCAGCAGCCGCGGUAA